rnacentral:tRNA from 1 species
ACUUAAAUAGCUUAUAGUUUAUAGUAUAAUAUUGAAGAUAUUAAGAAGAAAUUUUAUUUCUUUAAGUA